AGAGUUUGAUCCUGGCUCAGGACGAACGCUGGCGGCACGCUUAACACAUGCAAGUCGAACGAGAGAAGAGGAGCUUGCUUUUCUGAUCUAGUGGCGGACGGGUGAGUAACACGUGAGCAAUCUGCCUUUCAGAGGGGGAUACCGAUUGGAAACGAUCGUUAAUACCGCAUAACAUAAUUGAACCGCAUGAUUUGAUUAUCAAAGAUUUAUCGCUGAAAGAUGAGCUCGCGUCUGAUUAGCUAGUUGGUAAGGUAACGGCUUACCAAGGCGACGAUCAGUAGCCGGACUGAGAGGUUGAUCGGCCACAUUGGGACUGAGACACGGCCCAGACUCCUACGGGAGGCAGCAGUGGGGAAUAUUGCACAAUGGAGGAAACUCUGAUGCAGCGAUGCCGCGUGAGGGAAGAAGGUUUUAGGAUUGUAAACCUCUGUCUUCAGGGACGAAAAAAGACGGUACCUGAGGAGGAAGCUCCGGCUAACUACGUGCCAGCAGCCGCGGUAAUACGUAGGGAGCGAGCGUUGUCCGGAAUUACUGGGUGUAAAGGGAGCGUAGGCGGGAUCGCAAGUCAGAUGUGAAAACUAUGGGCUUAACCCAUAAACUGCAUUUGAAACUGUGGUUCUUGAGUGAAGUAGAGGUAAGCGGAAUUCCUAGUGUAGCGGUGAAAUGCGUAGAUAUUAGGAGGAACAUCAGUGGCGAAGGCGGCUUACUGGGCUUUAACUGACGCUGAGGCUCGAAAGCGUGGGGAGCAAACAGGAUUAGAUACCCUGGUAGUCCACGCCGUAAACGAUGAUUACUAGGUGUGGGGGGACUGACCCCUUCCGUGCCGCAGCAAACGCAAUAAGUAAUCCACCUGGGGAGUACGACCGCAAGGUUGAAACUCAAAGGAAUUGACGGGGGCCCGCACAAGCAGUGGAGUAUGUGGAUUAAUUCGAAGCAACGCGAAGAACCUUACCAGGUCUUGACAUCGUAUGCAUAGCUCAGAGAUGAGUGAAAUCUCUUCGGAGACAUAUAGACAGGUGGUGCAUGGUUGUCGUCAGCUCGUGUCGUGAGAUGUUGGGUUAAGUCCCGCAACGAGCGCAACCCUUACUGUUAGUUGCUACGCAAGAGCACUCUAGCAGGACUGCCGUUGACAAAACGGAGGAAGGUGGGGAUGACGUCAAAUCAUCAUGCCCCUUAUGACCUGGGCCUCACACGUACUACAAUGGCUGUCAACAGAGGGAAGCAAAGCCGCGAGGUGGAGCGAACCCCUAAAAGCAGUCUUAGUUCGGAUUGUAGGCUGCAACCCGCCUACAUGAAGUCGGAAUUGCUAGUAAUCGCAGAUCAGCAUGCUGCGGUGAAUACGUUCCCGGGCCUUGUACACACCGCCCGUCACGCCAUGGGAGUCGGUAACACCCGAAGCCUGUAGUCUAACCGCAAGGAGGACGCAGUCGAGGGUGGGAUUGAUGACUGGGGUGAAGUCGUAACAAGGUA
rnacentral:rRNA from 1 species